UACUAAAAAUUCCAUUCAUUUCUUCUGUUAAAACCUAGCGUGGUUGACGAAAUAACCAAAUAGUUACACGUGAAGUGUUACGUGUACCUCAUAUUAACAAACAAAAACUAGUUUUUAACAGUAGAAAUGGAAGGAAUUUUUAACA
rfam:Gossypium raimondii Chr10_contig_22, whole genome shotgun sequence.